ACUUUCAAAGGAUAAUAGUAAUCCAAUGGUCUUAGGAACCAUCCAUCUUGGUGCAAGUCCAAGUGAAAGUA
rnacentral:tRNA from 1 species